rnacentral:rRNA from 1 species
AGCGAACGCUGGCGGCAGGCUUAACACAUGCAAGUCGAGCGCCGUAGCAAUACGGAGCGGCAGACGGGUGAGUAACACGUGGGAACGUACCUUUUGGUUCGGAACAACACAGGGAAACUUGUGCUAAUACCGGAUAAGCCCUUACGGGGAAAGAUUUAUCGCCGAAAGAUCGGCCCGCGUCUGAUUAGCUAGUUGGUGAGGUAACGGCUCACCAAGGCGACGAUCAGUAGCUGGUCUGAGAGGAUGAUCAGCCACACUGGGACUGAGACACGGCCCAGACUCCUACGGGAGGCAGCAGUGGGGAAUAUUGGACAAUGGGCGCAAGCCUGAUCCAGCCAUGCCGCGUGAGUGAUGAAGGCCCUAGGGUUGUAAAGCUCUUUUGUGCGGGAAGAUAAUGACUGUACCGCAAGAAUAAGCCCCGGCUAACUUCGUGCCAGCCGCCGCCGUAA